UGUGGUGAAGUGGUAUCACAAGGGUCUCCAAAACCCUUGUCGUGGGUUCCCAGCCA
rnacentral:tRNA from 1 species